ensembl:lncRNA
GACUAACAUUUAAACUCAUUUAAAACAUGAAGGAAAGUGUUAGAAUCAUCAAACAAAGCUAUGGUACAUAUAUAUAUAUAUAUACAUACAUAUAUAUAUAUGUAUAUGUAUAUAUAUAUAUGUGUGUGUGUGUGUGUGUGUGUGUGUGUGUGUGUGUGUGUGUGUGUGUGUAUUGUAAGAAGGUACGUUUGUAAAACUAUUAAUUUUAUCACAAACCUGUGGUAGUUAUGAAACAUUUACUGUUUAACUUGACACGCUAUGCGUGCUAUUUAAUAUGAGCUGAUAUGAAGAAUUUUAAAAGCUGUUUUUUAAAUUUUGUUUAAUUUUAUCGCCUCGGCAUUGGAACCUGUUUCUGCUCUCAGCUUUGUAUCACUGUCUGUUAAGCUGGUUGUAUUUUACUGUAUGAGGUUAUGUAUUGUUUAACCCUAGCAGGCUCAAAACAGGUUCCGUCUUACAUACUGACUUAUGAGCAGUAAACCCACCUCAAAAACUCACUCUACCUUUACAGGGACAUUCAUGUUACUGAUUCUGGAACAGGGUUAACACAGGGUGCUAACUCUGCACCCUAAGUGGUUGUGUCUAGUGGAUAAGCUAAAAAAUCAGACUGUAUACUGUAUGACCCGAUUAACCAAGGCACUUGACUGCAUUUAAACUUUAUUCACAGGAAGUAAAGUAGCUCUUUCUGUCCAUCCAGUAAGCUAAGCCCAUGCAGCCUGCUAAGGGCUAAGCCCUAUAUGGCCUGACAAUGCGCUCCAUGUGUGUUACAAUGUGCAUGUGUGUAUAAUCGUUCGUGUAUGUGUGCGGGUCCAUCAUCUUACUGCCUAUGCUCAAUUUAGUGACAGUAAAGAGAGCUGGUUCCAGUUUAGCAACAGCUGUCGCCACUGUCUUCAUCUCACAAAACAUCCACAGCUAAAUGCCACGACACUAAUUGGACGUCUCCCCUCAAAAUGCUGCAUUACACAGCACAGAGCCUCAGGGGUCAGAGUUUACACCGCCAGCCCCUCACUCCACCACCAAUGGCCAUUUUAUACCUGCAUGUGUACCCAUAGACUCCCCAUUCCCCUUUGGCACCCCGUGAGUACCCUCCUCAAAACCUUUACACUCAUAUCCUGUUAAACACUUGUAGCUUUUCCCAGAAAUCUUUGCAGUUUUUCUCGUCCUGUUACAUCAGCUGCUUGCAUGAAAUAGGUGGUUGUUCUCUUUGUUUUGUUUUUUAUGUUUUUUGUUCUGUUUUCUCCCAGUGUCACAUUGGCAGUAGCGGAGAGAAUCAUAGCUGGCAACUAUUUUAUUCAUUUUAAAUGUUUUUUGUUUGUUUUUCAGUCAAUUGCGAUAUUUAUAUUUUUGUAAUAUAAAAAAUGUUUGUUGUUUUUUUUUCUUUCAUUAUUGUUGUGAUGUGGAUAACAAAUGCAGGGAUUUUUAUGUCUAUUGAAAAAACACUAUUACAGUUUAAUGUUUUUACAUUAAUGGAUUUUGAUCUGUAUAAAGUGCUUACUAAUGUUAAAUAGGAAAAAAAGAGUAUAUAACAAUAUUACACUACAGGUCUCAUCAUAGCUCUUAGAGGAUUUUAAAAGGAAAAAAAAAAUUGGUUCUUCCAGACUGCCUUUCUGGUCUUGCUUGGCGUGGAUGUAUGCUGUUUUCAGUUACAAAGAUAAAUGUAUGCCAUAUAAUUUAUUUAUAUGAAAAUUUAUUUUUGUAGUGUACAUAGUAGUUGUCAAGGUAUUUGACAGAAGUAUAUUUUUAAAGAGUUUAUAUGUAAUGAUAUACCAUAACAGAAAAAAAGCCUUAAGGUGCACACUUUCAUUGCUAACUGUCUUGUUAGACAACAUUGACACCUCCCCUUCAGUAUUAUGUUCCGAUCAGCUGUUUCUAUGGGUUUGUCGAAAGCUAGUCAUGAAAGUAGAAAUUGUACUAGCUCCCUAAAUAUUAAUGUUCAAACACUGAUAGAUUUCUAACAAAUAAAAAUAUAACUUAUUUGUCUUUUUGUUCAUAACUUUAAUAAAUGGAACUUAAAACGUU